GACUCUGUGGCCCAAUGGAUAAGGCGCUGGUCUACGAAACCAGAGCAGAGAUUAUGGGUUCAAUCCCCAACAGAGUCG